GCUAGGCGGGGUGACCCACGCCUGUAAUCUCAGCAGCUUGGGAGGCUGAGGCAGGAGGAUCACAAGCUCGAGGCCAGCCUCAGCAACUUAGCAAGGCCUUAAGCAACUUAGUGAGACCCUGUUUCAA
rnacentral:sRNA from 1 species